rnacentral:rRNA from 1 species
CUGCGGANGAUCNUUGUCGAAACCUGCAGAAGCAGAACGACCCGCGAACUCGUUUAUUUAUAAGGGCUCGCCUCGGCGCCAACCCAACACCGGCGCGGGUUGCGCCAAGGACCACGGACCCUACCGCGUCCCGCGUCCCCCUGGGCGACCGGGGGGCGCGGAGAUGGCGCGUCGGUAGCAUAACGACUCUCGGCAACGGAUAUCUCGGCUCUCGCAUCGAUGAAGAACGUAGCGAAAUGCGAUACUUGGUGUGAAUUGCAGAAUCCCGUGAACCAUCGAGUCUUUGAACGCAAGUUGCGCCCGAAGCCUCCCGGCCGAGGGCACGUCUGCCUGGGCGUCACGCACCGCGUCGCCCCCUCCCCCUCNGCGGGGGUCCGGGGGCGGANUUUGGCCCCCCGUGCGCUCCCGCGCGCGGUCGGCCUAAACGAGGAGCCCGCGGCCGCGAAUGCCGCGACGAUCGGUGGUCGAACCACGUCCCAAGGGACGUGAAGCAUCCCGUCGCGCGCUCGAGCGGCCUGCGGUAGCUCGGANGANCCGCGGGGANCGGAGCCCCAACCGUUGCGACCCCANGUCAGGCGGGAUCACCNGCUGAGUUUAA